rnacentral:rRNA from 1 species
UACGGAGGGUGCGAGCGUUGUCCGGAAUCACUGGGCGUAAAGGGCGCGUAGGCGGCCUGGUAAGUAGGGGGGUGAAAUCCUGCGGCUUAACCGCAGGGCUGCCUUCUAAACUGUCAGGCUCGAGCACGGUAGAGGCAGAUGGAAUUCCCCGGUGUAGCGGUGGAAUGCGUAGAGAUCGGGAAGAACAUCAGUGGCGAAGGCGGUCUGCUGGGCCGUUGCUGACGCUGAGGCGCGACAGCGUGGGGGAGCAAACAGG